rnacentral:tRNA from 1 species
GGAGUUGUGGCUCAGUGGCAGAGCACUUGCUUAGCACUCGUGAGGCACUGGGUUCAAUUCCCAGCACCA